rnacentral:rRNA from 1 species
AACGCUAGCUACAGGCUUAACACAUGCAAGUCGAGGGGAAACGAUAUUGGAAGCUUGCUUCCGAUAGGCGUCGACCGGCGCACGGGUGAGUAACGCGUAUCCAACCUGCCCAUCACUUGGGAAUAACCUUGCGAAAGUAAGACUAAUGCCCAAUGACAUUUAUAGAAGGCAUCGGAAAUGAAUUAAAGAUUUAUCGGUGAUGGAUGGGGAUGCGUCUGAUUAGCUUGUUGGCGGGGUAACGGCCCACCAAGGCGACGAUCAGUAGGGGUUCUGAGAGGAAGGUCCCCCACAUUGGAACUGAGACACGGUCCAAACUCCUACGGGAGGCAGCAGUGAGGAAUAUUGGUCAAUGGGCGAGAGCCUGAACCAGCCAAGUAGCGUGCAGGAAGACGGCCCUAUGGGUUGUAAACUGCUUUUAUAGGGGAAUAAAGUGAGCCACGUGUGGUUUUUUGCAUGUACCCUAUGAAUAAGGACCGGCUAAUUCCGUGCCAGCAGCCGCGGUAAUACGGAAGGUCCGGGCGUUAUCCGGAUUUAUUGGGUUUAAAGGGAGCGUAGGCCGGAGAUUAAGCGUGUUGUGAAAUGUAGACGCUCAACGUCUGCACUGCAGCGCGAACUGGUUUCCUUGAGUACGCAUAAAGUGGGCGGAAUUCGUGGUGUAGCGGUGAAAUGCUUAGAUAUCACGAAGAACUCCGAUUG